UUAGGGAUUGUUGUGUUUCUUGUAUGUUUGCUUUAUUAUUCUUUCUUCCCUUCUUAAUAUUUGCCUGUUUGAUUCAUUGAGUUUCUACGUUCAAAGAGCAUAGAUGUUAAUAAUUCAUGACAGUAGGAGCUAGCAACUAAGGAAUCACAAUCCGGACAUGACCAUUCUGUUUGAGGUCAACAAUUUUGGUCACAAAAACGCUAAACUUACAUCGUUUAAACAUAGAGACAUAACCUAAAAAUCUCUCUCAUAUUUCUUCACCCAAAUGUUCCCUUUCUCUCUCCCCCAGUCCUCUAGCUGAAAGGAAAACCCAAUUCCCAAAGCUUUGCUUCCUUCCAAUCUCAGCGUUGACCUUAUUUCCUCAUCCCAUCUAAGGGGACGGGUAUAGGGCCGCUGUGGGACUUCUUUCUGCUGUAGGAAUCUGGGAGUGUGUGUUUUUGCAGGUCGUUGAUUCAACCAUGUUUAUGACAAGAUUUAUUGGGAGAACUCUCUUUGCUGCAGUUAAAUCUGAAACUUCUGCUGCUGCAGCAGCAACUGGGUAUGCUCGUAACCCUCUUGAGGCGUUCUUCGAGGCAGAUAGGACCCAGGAUGAGGAUAAACGUGUUGUCUAU
rnacentral:misc_RNA from 1 species